AUGAUUUGGCGCGAGGUACCGGUUUAAAUCCAAAUUCCAUUUGCUCGUCGUCCCGGAGAUUGCGGCUCAUGGGUGCAUAACUACAAAAGACGCCACGGGUUUAAUAAGGAAGUUGCACCUUGACCUGCGUUUAACCUGCGUUUUUACACGUGACAUGUGAACGGCCACGGGCCGUCGCAAUGUAUAUUGAAAUAUCGGAAAUGCGUUUAGAAACUAUAUCACAGUUACCGAAAAAAUUUAUACCGCGAGAUAUAUUGAUAUUGAAUUAUUGUCCAGCCCUACGGUUAGUACACCAUGGUGACAGAGGUGGUUUCCUGUGGACUGUGCCUCAAGGCUGCCAGGGGUGGAGCAAGUGGUCCCAUGGGUCGGUGGCGAGGCUCAUCGGGCCAGGUUUCCGGCUGUGCUGAUGGUUGACCGUAAAGCGUGGGGUGGACAAAACUGUGAUUCACCUCCUGUGUGACCGCACAGAGGGGAACACCGUAAUUAAGGUGCACAUUUUUUGUUUGGAUAAAAGCUCACAGAAACUAAAACCAGAUGUAUGCAGCUUUGCCAGGCGUGGAGCACCACCGUAAACCAGCUAAGACCACUCUUCUAAGCUUUCAGCCUGGUAAAGCUGGUUUUUCGAUCUGAACAGCUAAAAGUGGACUCUAAAAACCUCUCUAAAACCAGCCUGCUACACCAGCUAAAACCAAACUGGGAGACCAGGUCAACUUAGGUCCACGUGCUCAUCUCCACUCAAACCUUUGCAGAGAAAUGAAACAAUAACUGCAUGAUUGAUCUACAGUCGCCACCUGCUGGUGAUAAAAAUGAAUAGCAUUAAUAGAAAGUAUGACUUCAACAUAUUUUUGGUGGUAUGGUACAGUGCUUUAUAUAGAUUAAUGGUAUAUGGUACAGUCUUCUUUAGCUUAAAGGUAAAUAUAACAGUGAAUGAAGAUAAUUCUUAAACUGUGUGUAGAUGUUCAAUAAAGUUUAGAGUAUCAGUGAA